rnacentral:rRNA from 1 species
UACAGAGACUGCAAGCGUUGUUCGGAAUUAUUGGGCGUAAAGGGCGCGUAGGCGGUGCGGUAAGUCACCUGUGAAAUCUCCUGGCUCAACUGGGAGCUUGCAGGCGAAACUGCCGUGCUGGAGUGUGGGAGAGGUGCGUGGAAUUCCCGGUGUAGCGGUGAAAUGCGUAGAUAUCAGGAGGAACACCGGUGGUGUAAACGGCUUUCUGGACCAUAACUGACGCUGAUGCACGAAAGCGUGGGUAGCAAACAGG